GACGAACCGUGCGAGCGUUGUUCGGAAUCACUGGGCUUAAAGGGCGCGUAGGCGGGCUGUCAAGUCUGGGGUGAAAUGCCGCGGCUCAACCGUGGAACUGCCUUAGAUACUGACGGCCUCGAGGGAGGUAGGGGCGUGCGGAACUGUAGGUGGAGCGGUGAAAUGCGUUGAUAUCUACAGGAACUCCGGUUGCGAAAGCGGCGCGCUGGACCUCUUCUGACGCUGAGGCGCGAAAGCUAGGGGAGCAAACGGG
rnacentral:rRNA from 1 species